GACGGAGGGGGCAAGCGUUGUCCGGAAUCACUGGGCGUAAAGCGCACGUAGGCGGGACGGUGCGUCGGUGCUGAAAGCGCCAGGCUUAACCUGGCGAGGCGUGCCGAUACGACCGACCUCGAGGCAGACAGAGGGUGGCGGAAUUCCGGGUGUAGUGGUGAAAUGCGUAGAGAUCAGGAAGAACACCAGUGGCGAAGGCGCUCUGCUAGGCCGUAACUGACACUGAGGGACGAAAGCUAGGGGAGCGAAUGGG
rnacentral:rRNA from 1 species